rnacentral:rRNA from 1 species
AUUGAACGCUGGCGGAAUGCUUUACACAUGCAAGUCGAGCGGCAGCACCGGGGCAACCCUGGUGGCGAGCGGCGAACGGGUGAGUAAUACAUCGGAACAUGCCCAGUCGUGGGGGAUAACACUUCGAAAGAAGUGCUAAUACCGCAUACGUCCUGAGGGGGAAAGCGGGGGAUCGCAAGACCUCGCGCGAUUGGAGUGGCCGAUGUCAGAUUAGCUAGUUGGUGGGGUAAAGGCCUACCAAGGCAACGAUCUGUAGCUGGUCUGAGAGGAUGAUCAGCCACACUGGGACUGAGACACGGCCCAGACUCCUACGGGAGGCAGCAGUGGGGAAUUUUGGACAAUGGGGGCAACCCCGAUCCAGCCAUUCCGCGUGAGUGAAGAAGGCCUUCGGGUUGUAAAGCUCUUUCGGCAGGAACGAAACGGUGAGCUCUAACAUAGCUUGCUAAUGACGGUACCUGAAGAAGAAGCACCGGCUAACUACGUG